GUGGCUUUAGAGAAGAGGUUAAAUAUAGUCCAUUUUUUACUGGAUAGUGGUGUUUAUCUUUCCUGUGGGAUGUUUGGGUCGGCAAUAGUGAUUGCAGAAAGAAAAUAAAACGGUGAACAACCUUAUGUGUCAACAUGUCACACUGUUUAAAUACAUCCUGUGGACAGAGUCGAUUACAUGGCAAACAAAAGAUAAAACUAACCAGUGGAGAGGUGGUGCUUUGAUUUAUGUAAAUGGAAAAGGUGUGUAAUGUUUUUAUUUUAACCAAAUAAAGCAAAUAUGAGAAAAGGAGUGUUUGCGUAACACAAAAUAAACAUGUAAUAGUUUAUUCUAGUCAUUGGGAUGUGUAAUUUCUGCUUCUGAUUAGGAAAAAGAAAUUGCGGGAACAUUUUUAUCACCUGAUCCUUAAUAAUAACUUUGAAUAAUUUCUUCACUUUUUUUGUCUUAAAUUGGAAAAUGUUUCUUGUUACUCAAAGCUGCAAGAUUCACACUAAUUUGAUUGGCUUGCAAACCCAAUACAUCAAAGGAUAACUUAAGAGACAUAAAUAUAAAGUCAGACAUUGCCUACAUCAGUUGUUGCAAACCAAAAAUUGCAGAAAGCAGUUGCAGAAUUUUAAACCAUAUCUGAUAUUUAUUUAAAGUUGAAACCAGAUGUUUAUACUCAGCAGGACAGAAACACACACAACUCUUAUUCCCAUUAAAGUCCAAUAUGAGAUGAAACUAAACCUUCCUCGCCUGUUUUCAGUAAUAAUUUUGGAGACGUGUCUUGCAGUCUGAUGAAAUUAAAAUUAAAGAGUUGGGCCUAAAGAGUGUUGCAAAACUCUAGAAAAACAAUGUUGAUCUUUCUGCUGCAGGAUGGACUGGUGAACUUCACAAAGUAGAUGGCAGUACGAGGAAAGGACGUCAAGUAGAAAAGAGCCAUGGAGGUCCCAUUGGCUGACUGGACGGAGGAUGGCCUGUGGAAGCCUGUGGAGCAGGUGCCCUGCUGAGUGUAACGGUCGUCUCCGCAGCAAAGAAUCACAAGGAACGCCCUUCGAAAAGCCUGGUUCAGACACAGACCUGUCCAGUGCAAUGCAGCAGAGGUGAAGGAUGGAUGCCGUGGUCAAUAAAACAUCCAGAGAGGUUCGCACCAGGC